UACAGAGGCCUCGAGCGUUAGGCGGAAUCACUGGGCUUAAAGCGUGUGUAGGCGGACUUCUAAGUACCUUGUGAAAUCCCACGGCUCACCCGUGGAACUGCUCGGUAUACUGGUCGUCUUGAGCCUUCUAGGGGCGAGUGGAACAAAUGGUGGAGCGGUGAAAUGCGUAGAUAUCAUUUGGAACGCCAAUGGUGAAAACAACUCGCUGGGGAAGUGCUGACGCUGAGACACGAAAGCCAGGGGAGCGAAUGGG
rnacentral:rRNA from 1 species